rnacentral:lncRNA from 1 species
AGGUAAUUUGCAUAGGUAAUGCUUGUCUCAUUUGAUCAUCAUGGGCUCAUGUCUCAGGAUGUCCACUUAUCAAGUAUUUGAUAAAGCAUCUGGAAGCUCUCUUCCCUCUUCAUCCCAACUUCUUGGCUUCUCUGCCUUUUUUCAUGUGUCAGCAAAAAUCCCACCUUCUUCAAGAGGACUUUUCCAGACCUUCAUUUCAGUACUAAAGAAAAAAAAGUAGCAGCUAAUAAAUAGAUUGAAACUCUUCAAAGACUAUUUAAAGGGAGAAAAAUCACUACUGUUGGCCAAGAACAAGUUCUGAAAUAGGUAUUGAGGACCUGGAAGAGAAAUCAAUUUGGUGAUACAUUUGUACCAGAACACAGUUAAAGGGAAGCCUUUUUCCAGUGUGAAAUAAGGAACUAAGGAAAGUGGCAGGUCACACCUGAACCAGGAGAUGGACAAGAGCAGCUGGCCAAGAAUGGCUGACCCUAAGGCUAGAAAGGAGAAAUAUUAAGGAGUGUGUAUAUGGA